UCUCAGUAAAAUGAGUGGUCCUACCUUUUUAAAGUUUAUCCCUGUAUGAGAACAAUUACUAGCUUGGUUUGGUGUUUGCCAAAUGACAGAUUGUGAAUUUUGCUUAUUUCCCUUCAGUUUCAAUCUCAGGUUGGUACCUGUAGCUUAAUUUCAGCUGUCUUACAGAUUUGUCUUUAGUUUGACUUUGUGGUGUUGAGACAUUUUGGGGGGUUAAAAUGAAUUUAUUUACUUUGGCUUUUAGUAUUUGGUAUAUUAACUAUAAGGAGCUUUAUGAAACUUUUAACUUCCCAGACCUCUUUAUGACCUCCUCCCUUAUGUGGGCCCCUCUCUUCAUUCCGGUCAACUGCCAACUGCCAAUUUCACAUCCCAGGAUGCUUCACCCAACUCCUUCUGCCUCUAACUCUCUUCCACACUGGAGUUAGAGUCUCUACAUUUCUGAGGAAAGAGGUACUAAUGGGUGGCUGCCCCAAAUUUUCUGCCUACCCUCUGUUUUUUAAAAAAUUUAUGUGUAAUAGUUUUGGAUAGAUACUUCCUUAUUUAAUGUGUCCAGUACCAUUUUUUGUUUGUUUCAGAUAGCAAAUGUGUUUACACCACAUUGUUUCUUAAAUUAAUUGUACUUAACGGGAGUUUUUGGUAAAAAGAUUGAAGAUUAAUUUUUGUAGGUUUUUAAAAUAGGCUUUUAGGAAGGUCAAGUGGAAGAAAUUUUAUUUUUAAUAGAAUUAAACAAAUUAUGCUAAUUACAGAUACAUUUCUACUUCAUAGGGACUGGUGUAUUUCAUUUACUAAACAUUCAGUUUUAUAGAAUUCUAUAAUAAAAAUAACCCAAUUUGCAAUAUGAGGUAGUAAAAGUGUGCUUUAGCUUUUGCCUUAUCUCAGAUUCCAACAUUUGUGAGGAUUGUGUGCUGGUCCCUAAACACUGGCAGUUUGCCUUUGCUGUGAUACUCUGUUUUUAUCAUGGAAAAGUUCAUUGAUGCUGAACAGAUAAGUAGUUUAUAAUAAGAUUGAGUUCGGGUAGAUUUAAGUGCUUCAUGUUGUCACAUGUUCUGCCACUCAGUGGUGUCAUGACUUGGAUUGACUUAACUCCUUGUACAUCAGCUUCCUUCUCUUUAAAAUGAGGAUAAGCCCUGAGCAGUGUAGCUCAAUGGGUUAGGUGUCAUCUUGCAAAGCUGACUGUCACCAGCUUGGUUCCUGGGUCAGGAAACACGCCUGAGUUCACGCCAGGUCCCUGGUUGGGGACAUGCGAGAGGAAACCAGCCCAUGUUUUUCUCACACAUUGAGGU